CUAUUUGAGAGACACAAAUUAGAUGAGAUUUAUAGAGAGAGAAAAGUGAUUUAUGUUGAUCGAAAUUAAUAUAUCAACAAAUUUUCAUUGAGCUAAACGAUUUUAAGUCGAUACCUAUUUGCAGGUUAUCAAGCAUUCUGGUAAGGCCGUGUAUGCUAUUUUGUAUUAUGAUGAUCAACAUAGACAAAAAAAAAGAUUUUCCACCAUACCAACAUAAUUUGAUAUUUGCUGGUAAACAACUUGAAGAUGGGCAUAUUAGCUGAUUAUGAUAUCCAGAAAGCUACAUGGAAAAAUUAUUGAACCAUCUUUGAUGUCUUUGGAUAGAAAGUACAACCGGGACAACAUUACCUGUCGCAAAUGUGUCAUAUGGGUACUAUUUUUGAAGCGGUAGAACGCAGUGAUGUCUGGUACUCAACUACACACUUUUAUCCUUGAAAUAAGAGGGUGCCCAAAUACACCACAAUCUUUUAUAUCCACCCAUAAGUCCUAUACCUUUUGCGAUUUCUAUAGACGAGGUCGAUACAAUACGACAACAAGAUAUUUACUUGACAGUAUUUACGGUAAUAAAACCAAUUGACUAUUAGGAUCAGUGUCAAAU